UCUCAGCAUUCUAUAUUCAGCAUGAAUCCAAGUUGAAUUGGGCUCUGCCCACAAUCUCUCAGCAAAUGCUGCGGAUCUAGGCCAAAUUUUCGUAUCAGUUGAGGCGCUAUCGGCUUGUUCCGUCCAAAGAGCUGUUUCACCUCCUGUUACAACACAAAGAUAUGCCUAUACUAUAUAUGUAUAUAAUUGUUGUGUGACAUCACUAUGGCUAAAUUUUUCUCUUUAAUAAGCCACUUUCUUCUUAAAUGUACAAAAGAAGCCCAAUCGGACAUUAAGAGAGUUGUCAUAAACGAUCUGCCAUCCUUUGUAAGGAGAACACCAAUUAUUACCCUCGCCUACCCAAGCUGAGAAACUAAAAGAAAAAACAUAAGCAAAAUAGAAAGUGGAGGAUGCCAAAAUCUAAUAUUAAAUUGUUAAUUACGAGUAUAUUAAUAAUCUAUAAUACUACUAAUAAUAUAAUAA